rnacentral:tRNA from 2 species
CAUUAAGAAGCUAUGCAACAGCACUAGCCUUUUAAGCUAGAAAUAGAGGGCCACUAAUCCUCCUUAAUGA